UGGGGAAUUUUGGACAAUGGACGCAAGUCUGAUCCAGCCAUUCCGCGUGCAGGAUGAAGGCCCUCGGGUUGUAAACUGCUUUUGUACGGAACGAAAAGGCUCUGGUUAAUACCUGGGGCUGAUGACGGUACCGUAAGAAUAAGCACCGGCUAACUACGUGCCAGCAGCCGCGGUAAUACGUAGGGUGCGAGCGUUAAUCGGAAUUACUGGGCGUAAAGCGUGCGCAGGCGGUUUUGUAAGCCAGAUGUGAAAUCCCCGGGCUUAACCUGGGAAUGGCAUUUGGGACUGCAAGGCUCGAGUGCGGCAGAGGAGACUGGAAUUCCUGGUGUAGCAGUGAAAUGCGUAGAUAUCAGGAGGAACACCGAUGGCGAAGGCAGGUCUCUGGGCUGACACUGACGCUCAUGCACGAAAGCGUGGGGAGCAAAC
rnacentral:rRNA from 1 species